rnacentral:rRNA from 1 species
UACGUAGGGUGCGAGCGUUGUCCGGAAUUAUUGGGCGUAAAGAGCUCGUAGGCGGUCUGUCGCGUCGAUCGUGAAAACUUGGGGCUUAACCCUGAGCUUGCGGUCGAUACGGGCAUGACUGGAGUUCGGCAGGGGAGACUGGAAUUCCUGGUGUAGCGGUGAAAAUGCGCAGAUAUCAGGAGGAACACCGGUGGCGAAGGCGGGUCUCUGGGCCGAUACUGACGCUGAGGAGCGAAAGCGUGGGGAGCGAACAGG